GAUGAACGCUGGCGGCGUGCCUAACACAUGCAAGUCGAGCGAACGGACCAGACGCUUGCGUUUCUGAUGUUAGCGGCGGACGGGAGAGUAACACGUGGAUAACCUACCUAUAAGACUGGGAUAACUUCGGGAAACCGGAGCUAAUCGCGGAGAAUCUUUUGCACCGGAGGGUGCAAAAGUGAAAGGCGGUCUUUGUGUCACUUAUAGAUGAAUCCGCGCUGGAUUAGCUGGUUGGUAAGGUAACGGCUUACCAAGGCAACGAUGCAUAGCAGACCGCAGAGAGGGGUCGGCCACCCUGGAAGUGAGACAGGGCCAAGACUCCUACGAGAGGCAGCAGUCGGGAAUCUUACGCAAUGGGGGAGAGCAUGACAGAGCAAGGGCGAGUGAGUGAUGAAGGUGCUGGGAUCGGAAAGCUCUGUUAUUAGGGGAGAACAUAUGUGUAAGUAACUGUGGAGAUCGUGACGGUACCUGAAGAAAAAGCACCGGCUAACUACGUG
rnacentral:rRNA from 1 species